GUUUCUGUAGUGGAGUGGUUAUCACAUUCGCCUCCCACGCAAAAGGUCCCUGGCUCGAAGCCAAGCAGGAACA